rnacentral:snRNA from 1 species
AAAUGGAUACUAAAAUUAGGAGAU